rnacentral:lncRNA from 1 species
AUGGUGCCUACACUCAGCCCCUCCACACAGCCACUACAGCUGAGAUCAGCACGGCGGCCCAAGGACUCCCCACAGACGGUGGAAUACAGGUUGCUGAAACAAAAAGUGUGUCCAGCCUCCAGGGCUUGCCAGCAGCUAUUGACUGAUAGGAGCACACUGUCCUUGGUGGCAGGAGGGAGCAACUUGCUUUAUCUAUGCAUUCCCUGGCAAGCAGCAGCAGUGGAGAAAGAGACAUGUCUCGCUGGCCAGUGUCCAGUCCCUGGCAAGCCAAAUCAUUCUACAAGCUCUGAAACUGAAGACACAAAAUCAGCAAUGAAACAGUGCUGCUUGAGUCAGAGGUGCGAAGGAAUCAGCUCUCCACUCCAUGAUCCAUCCUCCAGCUCACAGCUGGUACAAAUGGGUGUGACUCAUUGCACAGCCAGAGGUUAUAAUGAAGUAUCCCACUCAUCCUUUAGCUCACCCUUUGUUCGAGACAAUGCGGAUUGCGGAAGGUUUCUGAGGAGGCCAUGUCCUGCUCAUGAGGCUCCUGCUCAGCUGCUCUGUAGCUUUCCCCCACCCGGAGGGAGGACAGGCAGGGGAGGUGACAACCUUCAGCAAAGGUGUGUUUCAGGAGCAUGCACUUUGAGAUGGACUUCACUCCAGAAGUUCAGAAGCCCAGAGUUGGCACCCUCUGAUUUCUCCAGAAGAAAGCUGAGAGCUAGAUACGGAUCAAUUCUUAUGCUGAAGCUCAUCUCCAUACUCACAGCAAACCCAGAAGCUUUGAGAAGCUGUCAGUGACAUGACCCCAGUUCUCUCUGCCCAGGUCUGAGGUGCCUCUUCUGGGAUGGGAGCAACUGAGUCUCACCAAUCUGUCAGCAACCAGGAGGAAGCCAGGAAACAAAUAAACAAUAAAAGUUGGUGCUGCA